UUUAAUUACAGCUGACCUGAAGAGCAAUUGUUUCUCCAGAUCAGUGGCACAAAUAGAGCAGAAGAAGAAUGAGUUCAUCUGAUCUUAUGUGCUCAUACAGCCACACCUAGAAAAACUGGACAUCAUUUUCGAAAAAACCGCACACAGAAAGCAGUGACAACAUCAAUGCCAAAGUUAAAAAGCUCAACAAGGAAGGAAAUGAGAAAAGUGCAAACAACCACAGUCCCAACACCUCCCAAAGCAGCAAUGUAGAA